rnacentral:rRNA from 1 species
GACGAACGCUGGCGGCGUGCUUAACACAUGCAAGUCGAACGGAAAGGCCCUGCUUUUGUGGGGUGCUCGAGUGGCGAACGGGUGAGUAACACGUGAGUAACCUGCCCUUGACUUUGGGAUAACUUCAGGAAACUGGGGCUAAUACCGGAUAGGAGCUCCUGCUGCAUGGUGGGGGUUGGAAAGUUUCGGCGGUUGGGGAUGGACUCGCGGCUUAUCAGCUUGUUGGUGGGGUAGUGGCUUACCAAGGCUUUGACGGGUAGCCGGCCUGAGAGGGUGACCGGCCACAUUGGGACUGAGAUACGGCCCAGACUCCUACGGGAGGCAGCAGUGGGGAAUAUUGCACAAUGGGCGGAAGCCUGAUGCAGCAACGCCGCGUGCGGGAUGACGGCCUUCGGGUUGUAAACCGCUUUCGCCUGUGACGAAGCGUGAGUGACGGUAAUGGGUAAAGAAGCACCGGCUAACUACGUGCCAGCAGCCGCGGUGAUACGUAGGGUGCGAGCGUUGUCCGGAUUUAUUGGGCGUAAAGGGCUCGUAGGUGGUUGAUCGCGUCGGAAGUGUAAUCUUGGGGCUUAACCCUGAGCGUGCUUUCGAUACGGGUUGACUUGAGGAAGGUAGGGGAGAAUGGAAUUCCUGGUGGAGCGGUGGAAUGCGCAGAUAUCAGGAGGAACACCAGUGGCGAAGGCGGUUCUCUGGGCCUUUCCUGACGCUGAGGAGCGAAAGCGUGGGGAGCGAACAGGCUUAGAUACCCUGGUAGUCCACGCUGUAAACGGUGGGUACUAGGUGUGGGGUCCAUUCCACGGGUUCCGUGCCGUAGCUAACGCUUUAAGUACCCCGCCUGGGGAGUACGGCCGCAAGGCUAAAACUCAAAGGAAUUGACGGGGCCCCGCACAAGCGGCGGAGCAUGCGGAUUAAUUCGAUGCAACGCGUAGAACCUUACCUGGGUUUGACAUGGAUCGGGAGUGCUCAGAGAUGGGUGUGCCUCUUUUGGGGUCGGUUCACAGGUGGUGCAUGGCUGUCGUCAGCUCGUGUCGUGAGAUGUUGGGUUAAGUCCCGCAACGAGCGCAACCCUUGUUCACUGUUGCCAGCACGUUAUGGUGGGGACUCAGUGGAGACCGCCGGGGUCAACUCGGAGGAAGGUGGGGAUGACGUCAAGUCAUCAUGCCCCUUAUGUCCAGGGCUUCACGCAUGCUACAAUGGCUGGUACAGAGAGUGGCGAGCCUGUGAGGGUGAGCGAAUCUCGGAAAGCCGGUCUCAGUUCGGAUUGGGGUCUGCAACUCGACCUCAUGAAGUCGGAGUCGCUAGUAAUCGCAGAUCAGCAACGCUGCGGAGAAUACGCUCCCGGG